CCUACGGGAGGCAGCAGUGGGGAAUAUUGGACAAUGGGCGCAAGCCUGAUCCAGCAAUGCCGCGUGAGUGAUGAAGGCCUUAGGGUUGUAAAGCUCUUUUACCAGGGAUGAUAAUGACAGUACCUGGAGAAUAAGCUCCGGCUAACUCCGUGCCAGCAGCCGCGGUAAUACGGAGGGAGCUAGCGUUGUUCGGAAUUACUGGGCGUAAAGCGUACGUAGGCGGUUAUUCAAGUCAGAGGUGAAAGCCCGGGGCUCAACCCCGGAACUGCCUUUGAAACUAGGUAGCUAGAAUCUUGGGGAGGUCAGUGGAAUUCCGAGUGUAGAGGUGAAAUUCGUAGAUAUUCGGAAGAACACCAGUGGCGAAGGCGACUGACUGGACAAGUAUUGACGCUGAGGUACGAAAGCGUGGGGAGCAAACAGGAUUAGAUACCCUGGUAGUCCACGCCGUAAACGAUGAUAACUAGCUGUCCGGUCACUUGGUGACUGGGUGGCGCAGCUACGCAUUAAGUUAUCCGUCCGUCGGGUAGGUACGGUCGCGAGAUUAAACUACAAUAGUAAUUAGUACGGCGUGAGACGUAGCCGAACGGACGACGACGAGGGAGUAGG
rnacentral:rRNA from 1 species